GUUGUAUAGUUAAGUGACUAAGCGUACAAGGUGGAUGCCUUGGCAAUCAGAGGCGAAGAAGGACGUGCUAAUCUGCGAAAAGCUUGGAUGAGUCGAUAAGAGGCGUUUAAUCCAAGAUAUCCGAAUGGGGAAACCCAGUAGAUGAAGAAUCUACUAUCAACAAGUGAAUACAUAGCUUGUUGAGGCAAACCGGGAGAACUGAAACAUCUAAGUACCCGAGGAAAAGAAAUCAACCGAGAUUUCGUCAGUAGCGGCGAGCGAAAGCGAAAGAGCCAGUAAGUGAUAGCAGUAUAGUUAGGAGAAUGUGUUGGGAAGCACAAUCAAAGAGGGUGAUAAUCCCGUAUCUUAAAACCAUAUUGUGGUACUAAGCUAACGAGAAGUAGGGCGGGACACGUGAUAUCCUGUUUGAAGAUGGGGGACCAUCCUCCAAGGCUAAAUACUCCUGAUUGACCGAUAGUGAACCAGUACUGUGAAGGAAAGGCGAAAAGAACCCCGGUGAGGGAGUGAAAUAGAACCUGAAACCUUGUACGUACAAGCAGUGGGAGCCUGAAAGGGUGACUGCGUACCUUUUGUAUAAUGGGUCAGCGACUUAUAUUUUGUAGCGAGGUUAACCGAAUAGGGGAGCCGAAGGGAAACCGAGUCUUAACUGGGCGAAUAGUUGCAAGGUAUAGACCCGAAACCCGGUGAUCUAGCCAUGGGCAGGUUGAAGGUUGGGUAACACUAACUGGAGGACCGAACCGACUAAUGUUGAAAAAUUAGCGGAUGACUUGUGGCUGGGGGUGAAAGGCCAAUCAAACCGGGAGAUAGCUGGUUCUCCCCGAAAUCUAUUUAGGUAGAGCCUUGAGCGGACACCUUUGGGGUAGAGCACUGUUUCGGCUAGGGGUCCAUCCCGGAUUACCAACCCGAUGCAAACUACGAAUACCAAAGAGUGAUACUCAGGAGACACACGGCGGGUGCUAACGUUCGUCGUGGAGAGGGAAACAACCCAGACCGCCAGCUAAGGUCCCAAAGUCUAUAUUAAGUGGGAAACGAAGUGGGAAGGCUUAGACAGCUAGGAUGUUGGCUUAGAAGCAGCCAUCAUUUAAAGAAAGCGUAAUAGCUCACUAGUCGAGUCGGCCUGCGCGGAAGAUGUAACGGGGCUGAAAUAUAGCACCGAAGCUGCGGCAUCAGGCGUAUCACUAAUACGCCUUACGAUUAACAAGCUAGAAUGGCGCGAAGCGGCAUGAAAGGUUGUUCAAGCAACCCGAAUGUUGAGUCGGGCAUCUUUGAGUGAGGAUUAUUAGUGAUACGCCUGUUGGGUAGGGGAGCGUUGUGUAAGCGGAUGAAGGUUAAUCGAGAGGUUGGCUGGACGUAUCACAAGUGCGAAUGCUGACAUAAGUAACGAUAAAACGGGUGAAAAACCCGUUCGCCGGAAGACCAAGGGUUCCUGUCCAACGUUAAUCGGGCAGGGUGAGUCGGCCCCUAAGGCGAGGCUGAAAAGCGUAGUCGAUGGGAAACAGGUUAAUAUUCCUGUACUUGGUAAAGCUGCGAUGUGGGGACGGAGUAGGUUAGGUUAGCGUGCUGUUGGAUAUGCACGUUUAAGUUGGUAGGUGGGAAGUUUAGGCAAAUCCGGACUUCUAUUAAACACUGAGAGAUGAUGACGAGGCUCUACGGAGCUGAAGUAACUGAUACCACACUUCCAGGAAAAGCCACUAAGCGACAGGCUUUACUAAACCGUACUGAAAACCGACACAGGUGGUCAGGUAGAGAAUACUCAGGCGCUUGAGAGAACUCGGGUGAAGGAACUAGGCAAAAUAGCACCGUAACUUCGGGAGAAGGUGCGCCGGCGUAGAUUGUAAGGGCUUGCCCCUGAAGGUUGAACCGGUCGAAGAUACCAGCUGGCUGCAACUGUUUAUUAAAAACACAGCACUCUGCAAACACGAAAGUGGAGGUAUAGGGUGUGAUGCCUGCCCGGUGCUGGAAGGUUAAUUGAUGGUGUAAUCGAAAGAGAAGCACCUGAUCGAAGCCCCAGUAAACGGCGGCCGUAACUAUAACGGUCCUAAGGUAGCGAAAUUCCUUGUCGGGUAAGUUCCGACCUGCACGAAUGGCAUAAUGAUGGCCAGGCUGUCUCCACCCGAGACUCAGUGAAAUUGAAAUCGCCGUGAAGAUGCGGUGUACCCGCGGCUAGACGGAAAGACCCGUGAACCUUUACUAUAGCUUGACACUGAACAUUGAAUUUUGAUGUGUAGGAUAGGUGGGAGACUAAGAAGUAGGAACGCCAGUUUCUAUGGAGUCAUCCUUGAAAUACCACCCUUUAACGUUUGAUGUUCUAACGAAGAUUACGAAACGUGGUCUCGGACAGUGUCUGGUGGGUAGUUUGACUGGGGCGGUCUCCUCCCAAAGCGUAACGGAGGAGCACGAAGGUUUGCUAAUCACGGUCGGACAUCGUGAGGUUAGUGCAAUGGUAUAAGCAAGCUUAACUGCGAGACAGACAAGUCGAGCAGGUACGAAAGUAGGUCAUAGUGAUCCGGUGGUUCUGAAUGGAAGGGCCAUCGCUCAACGGAUAAAAGGUACUCCGGGAUAACAGGCUGAUACCGCCCAAGAGUUCAUAUCGACGGCGGUGUUUGGCACCUCGAUGUCGGCUCAUCACAUCCUGGGGCUGAAGUAGGUCCCAAGGGUAUGGCUGUUCGCCAUUUAAAGUGGUACGCGAGCUGGGUUUAGAACGUCGUGAGACAGUUCGGUCCCUAUCUGCCGUGGGCGUAGGAGAAUUGGUUGGGGCUGCUCCUAGUACGAGAGGACCGGAGUGGACGCACCACUGGUGUUCCGGUUGUGUCGCCAGACGCAUUGCCGGGUAGCUAAGUGCGGAAGAGAUAAGUGCUGAAAGCAUCUAAGCACGAAACUUGCCAAGAGAUGAGUUCUCCCUGUCUUUAAGACAGUAAGGGUUGUUUAAGACGAAGACGUAGAUAGGUCUGGUGUGUAAGUGUAGUGAUACAUUGAGCUAACAGAUACUAAUUGCCCGAGAGGCUUAACUAUACAACGCUCAAG
rnacentral:rRNA from 1 species